rnacentral:rRNA from 1 species
AGUGAACGCUGGCGGUAGGCCUAACACAUGCAAGUCGAACGGAAGCACAGUAAGAGCUUGCUCUUACGGGUGGCGAGGGGCGGGCGAGCGAGGAGUACAUCGCAAUCUAAUUUUACGUGGGGGAUAACGUGGGGACACUGACGCUAAUAGAUCAUACGACGAACGGGAGGGAUCAAGGGUGCUUCGGGCCUUGCGCGAUACAAUGAGCCGAUGCCGGAUUGGCUAGUUGGUGGGGUAACGGCACACCAAGGCGACGAUGCGUAGCUGGCCUGAGAGGAUGAUCGGCCACACUGGAACUGAGACACGGUCCAGACUCCUACGGGAGGCAGCAGUGGGGAAUAUUGCACAAUGGGCGCAAGCCUGAUCCAGCCACGCCGCGUGAGUGAAGAAGGUCUUCGGGUUGUAAAGCCCUUUUAUUGGGAAAGAACAGCUGCAUGUGAAUCCCUGGCUGUUUUGACGGUACCCAAAGAAUAAGCACCGGCUAACUUCGUG